AUGCUUCCAACUAGGUGAAUCUCCUCAAACCUAAGGGUGUUCAGUUGGGGAAGAGGUGACUGUGUGUGGUGACGGCCCCAGAGGACAGAAUAUUAAUAAUGUAGUUGAUAACCUUCAACACAGGUCGUGGCACUUUACUGGGAAAAGAGAUUUGUGGCAGUCCUUAUUUCUCAGGAGUCUCUGCUUUUACUCAGGUAGGGGAAGCUCUGCAAAGCCUUCUUUCUGUGUCUGUUGAAUCCCAAACGUCUUCAGCUUAAGAUAAUUUUCAUGCCAAAGUGGAGUAUUUUAGGGCAGCAUAUUCUGAUCCUCUUCAAAACCGUGUCAACCUAGAGGUUCUAGAUUUUAUGUGGAAUCUGGAAAGAGCAGUGCUUGGGUGGAUCUGAUUUAUAAUUUCUUACUGCUUAGUGGGCAGAAUAUAGUACGUGAUGCAAUAAC
rnacentral:lncRNA from 1 species